rnacentral:rRNA from 1 species
UACGUAGGGAGCAAGCGUUGUCCGGAAUCAUUGGGCGUAAAGCGCGCGUAGGUGGCUCUGUAAGUCCGUUGUGAAAGUCAAAGGCUCAACCUUUGAAAGCCGAUGGAUACUGCGGAGCUAGAGUGCGGUAGAGGGGUGUGGAAUUCCCGGUGUAGCAGUGAAAUGCGUAGAUAUCGGGAGGAACAUCUGUGGCGAAGGCGACACCCUGGACCAGCACUGACACUGAGGCACGAAAGCGUGGGGAGCAAACAGG